rnacentral:lncRNA from 1 species
GGGGGAAUUGAAAAGGCUUGGGCAGAGGAUUGAUUCCAUGUUAGAAUCGCCAACAAGCUUGUAUCAUGAUUAUUGUUAUUGUUUUUCCCACCAUAAAUUGCAGACAUUUUUCUAUACCAUCUACGAGGGAAGCAAGAAGCCAGGGGGGAAAAAAACUUUAAAAACAUUUUUUAAAAACCCUUCUCCUGUUAAAGAACUAGAAGGGCUGGACCCUCGGCUAAUAAUCCAGGAGAAAGUGAGAAUCAUCCUGAACUUGAGAAAUCUACUGCUGCCGCUGCUACUGCUACUGAAGCUAUUGCAGCUUCCGCUUUCAGGGUUGUAAGCAGAAUAAAUAACUGGUUUUUUCCUCGAUUUUAGCUGUAAUACCAAUGCUUGCUGCCAUCCUUGGGACAUUUCAGUAUUCUUUCCCUACCAAGUAGUAAUGAUCACCCUUGAUUCCCGGGUCCGGGCCGGCGCUGGCAUUUGACAUCCAAAGACCUCCUGCUUUCUCAGAGGUCGGCUGUCACCUUCCGGCCUCCCCCACUGCUGCCCCGGUCGCCUCCCGAUGCAGCUCUGCUUGCCUGCCAUUUUCACUCACUCGCUUAAACCUACAACCUCGGGGUCAAAAGAAAGAGGAGUAGGGAGGAAAAUCACACACUCUUAAAAAAAUACAUUGUUGAAAUUUCCUUUAAUUACAGGAUUUACCAAUGAAGUGCCACUCAGAAAUGGGAAUUCCUAAAGGGGCUAGCUGUGUACAAGACCUAGAAUUCCCGCUGUCCUGUGCAUAAAGGUGAGUGUGCUAACACAUUUGGUGUGUGCAAAAGCACCAGCCAUUCCAACAUUCUGUUAGGUUCACACAGGUCUUUGACUCUGAAACUUCCCCCAAAAUGUGACUCCACCAGCUUCCCUCAGUUUAGAUGGAGAGGUGCCUACCCUCUGACCAGCAAAUGUCCUCCGAGGAAACGGAGAAAUGGGUCUUGAGAGGCUUUGGAAGGGGGGACAAAAUCUCUAGGGAGAGACAAACACUAGGCUGACUGGCAAGAAGUUCAUAAGGCUGCUUCUGAUCGGUGUAAGAGACUCUCUAGGGACCAUCCCCUAGGCCAGGGGACAGACCAGCAGCACCUGAAGAUCCCAGCUGUCAAAAUCUAGGUCUUGUCCCUCCAAUCCUCACCUUCCCUGCCAGGCACCCCAGGGGUGGCUGAGCACCUUGCCUUGGUGCCCAACCGCCAAGGUAGCUUAAAAAAAAAAAAGAAAGAGAAGAAAAGAAAAAAGAAAAGAACCGCCAUCCUCCCCUCCACUCCUCCGGCUAAUCCCUUUCACCUCAUCCCCAGGGGGUCUGUCUAUGUCUAGGUUCCCUUGGAGACGGGAGGUUAAGAGGGGUGCAAGAAAUGUUCCUAGGAAAGGAGGGGACCAAGGUACCAAACUCUGAGAUUAAAUGCAAGACCCACAUGUGAAGCUGAGCUUGCUGUUGCUGCUGAGAAAUUAUAAACCACGUGGAGGGUUGGGGAGGUAGGGGGUGGGUUCUGUGAGGGGAACUGGGUGGGAGGUGGAAGACUGAAGUGAAUCGGAGUCUCCGAACCUCCAAAUUUAAAGGUCCCCGUCUUUUAAACUUUUCUAGAAGGGGGGUUGGCGGAGUGGGAGGCGGAAUGAGGCGCGGCUGGAGUACCCCUC